UAGCAUAUCAAUAAGCGGAGGAAAAGAAACCAACAGGGAUUGCCCUAGUAACGGCGAGUGAAGCGGCAACAGCUCAAAUUUGAAAUCUGGCGCAAGCCCGAGUUGUAAUUUGUAGAGGAUGCUUCUGGGUAGCGACCGAUCUAAGUUCCUUGGAACAGGACGUCAUAGAGGGUGAGAAUCCCGUAUGUGACCGGCCCGCACCCUUUACGUAGCUCCUUCGACGAGUCGAGUUGUUUGGGAAUGCAGCUCUAAAUGGGAGGUAAAUUUCUUCUAAAGCUAAAUACCGGCCAGAGACCGAUAGCGCACAAGUAGAGUGAUCGAAAGAUGAAAAGUACUUUGGAAAGAGAGUUAAAAAGCACGUGAAAUUGUUGAAAGGGAAGCGCCUGCAACCAGACUUCGCGGCAGUGUUCCGCCGGUCUUCUGACCGGUUCAUUCUCUGUCGCGAGGCCAUCAUCGUCUAGGCCCGCCGGAUAAGACCUUGGGAAUGUAGCUCACCUUCGGGGGAGUGUUAUAGCCCAUGGUGAUGCGGCGAGGCUUGGGCGAGGUCCGCGCUUCGGCAAGGAUGAUGGCGUAAUGGUUGUCGGCGGCCCGUCUUGAAACACGGACCAAGGAGUCUAACAUCUAUGCGAGUGUUCGGGUGUCAAACCCCUACGCGUAAUGAAAGUGAACGGAGGUGGGAACCGCAAGGUGCACCAUCGACCGAUCCUGAUGUCCUCGGAUGGAUUUGAGUAAGAGCAUAGCUGUUGGGACCCGAAAGAUGGUGAACUAUGCCUGAAUAGGGUGAAGCCAGAGGAAACUCUGGUGGAGGCUCGCAGCGGUUCUGACGUGCAAAUCGAUCGUCAAAUUUGGGUAUAGGGGCGAAAGACUAAUCGAACCAUCUAGUAGCUGGUUCCUGCCGAAGUU
rnacentral:rRNA from 1 species